GAUGAAGAACGCAGCGAAAUGCGAUAAGUAAUGUGAAUUGCAGAAUUCAGUGAAUCAUCGAAUCUUUGAACGCACAUUGCGCCCCCUGGUAUUCCGGGGGGCAUGCCUGUCCGAGCGUCAUUACAACCCUCAAGCUCAGCUUGGUGUUGGGCCCCGCCGCCCCGGCGGGCCCUAAAGUCAGUGGCGGUGCCGUCCGGCUCCGAGCGUAGUAAUUCUUCUCGCUCUGGAGACCCGGUUGUGUGCUUGCCAACAACCCCCAAUUUUUUAAGGUUGACCUCGGAUCAGGUAGGGAUACCCGCUGAACUUAAGCAUAUCAAUAAGCGGAGGA
rnacentral:misc_RNA from 1 species